rnacentral:tRNA from 1 species
UCCCUGGUGGUUCAAUGGUUUGGACGCCGGGCUUCUAUUGCAGGAAACAUGGGUUCGAUCCCUGGCCAGGGAA